GUUGGGUUAAGUCCCGCAACGAGCGCAACCCUUGUCAUUAGUUGCUACGAAAGGGCACUCUAAUGAGACUGCCGGUGACAAACCGGAGGAAGGUGGGGAUGACGUCAAGUCCUCAUGGCCCUUAUGGGUAGGGCUUCACACGUCAUACAAUGGUCGGGACAGAGGGUUGCCAACCCGCGAGGGGGAGCCAAUCUCAGAAACCCGAUCGUAGUCCGGAUUGCAGUCUGCAACUCGACUGCAUGAAGUCGGAAUCGCUAGUAAUCGCGGAUCAGCAUGUCGCGGUGAAUACGUUCCCGGGUCUU
rnacentral:rRNA from 1 species